CCCUUGUCCUUAGUUACCAGCACGUCAUGGUGGGCACUCUAAGGAGACUGCCGGUGACAAACCGGAGGAAGGUGGGGAUGACGUCAAGUCAUCAUGGCCCUUACGGCCUGGGCUACACACGUGCUACAAUGGUCGGUACAGAGGGUUGCCAAGCCGCGAGGUGGAGCUAAUCCCAUAAAACCGAUCGUAGUCCGGAUCGCAGUCUGCAACUCGACUGCGUGAAGUCGGAAUCGCUAGUAAUCGCGAAUCAGAAUGUCGCGGUGAAUACGUUCCCGGGCCUU
rnacentral:rRNA from 1 species